rnacentral:rRNA from 1 species
GGGGAAUAUUGCACAAUGGGGGAAACCCUGAUGCAGCGACGCCGCGUGAGUGAAGAAGUAUUUCGGUAUGUAAAGCUCUAUCAGCAGGGAAGAAAAUGACGGUACCUGACUAAGAAGCCCCGGCUAACUACGUGCCAGCAGCCGCGGUAAUACGUAGGGGGCAAGCGUUAUCCGGAUUUACUGGGUGUAAAGGGAGCGUAGGUGGCGGAUCAAGUCAGAUGUGAAAGCCCGGGGCUCAACUCCGGGAUUGCAUUCGAAACUGGUUAGCUAGAGUGCAGGAGAGGUAAGUGGAAUUCCUAGUGUAGCGGUGAAAUGCGUAGAUAUUAGGAGGAACACCAGUGGCGAAGGCGGCUUACUGGACUAUAACUGACACUGAGGCUCGAAAGCGUGGGGAGCAAAC